GACGAACGCUGGCGGCAGGCUUAACACAUGCAAGUCGAACGGGCACCUUCGGGUGUCAGUGGCAGACGGGUGAGUAACGCGUGGGAACGUACCCUUCGGUUCGGAACAACUCCGGGAAACUGGAGCUAAUACCGAAUACGUCCGCAAGGAGAAAGAUUUAUCGCCGAGGGAUCGGCCCGCGUCGGAUUAGCUAGUUGGUGGGGUAACGGCCUACCAAGGCGACGAUCCGUAGCUGGUCUGAGAGGAUGAUCAGCCACACUGGGACUGAGACACGGCCCAGACUCCUACGGGAGGCAGCAGUGGGGAAUAUUGGACAAUGGGCGAAAGCCUGAUCCAGCCAUGCCGCGUGAGUGAUGAAGGCCCUAGGGUUGUAAAGCUCUUUCGGCGGGACGAUAAUGACGGUACCCGCAGAAGAAGCCCCGGCUAACUUCGUGCCAGCCGCCGCAGUAAU
rnacentral:rRNA from 1 species